AUUGAACGCUGGCGGCAGGCCUAACACAUGCAAGUCGAACGAGUGGCGGACGGGUGAGUAAUGUCUGGGAAACUGCCCGAUGGAGGGGGAUAACUACUGGAAACGGUCGCUAAUACCGCAUACCAUCGGAUGUGCCCAGAUGGGAUUAGCUAGUAGGUGGGGGAAAGGCUCACCUAGGCGAAGAUCCCUAGCUGGUCUGAGAGGAUGACCAGCCACACUGGAACUGAGACACGGCCCAGCCUCCUACGGGAGGCAGCAGGGGGGAAUAUUGCACAAUGGGCGCAAGCCUGAUGCAGCCAUGCCGCGUGUAUGAAGAAGGCCUUCGGGUUGUAAAGUACUUUCAGCGGGGAGGCGUUACCCGCAGAAGAAGCACCGGCUAACUCCGUGCCAGCAGCCGCGGUAAUUC
rnacentral:rRNA from 1 species